rnacentral:lncRNA from 1 species
UGCCCCCGAUGGAUGAGGGGUUAGACUCGUAGGUGUGUCCGGAUGGAGCUGAGAGUGGAGAACUUCCUGGUCACCCUGCUUGACAUCGGUGGGGCCCCAGAGGCUGGCCAGCAAGCAGGACAAGAUGAACGCCCUGCUGGGGAUUGAGAUAAUUGAGAUCCUAUCUCUGGAGAGACUGGUGAACCAGAGCCGCUGUCUGUGCCACAUUGUCUAGUCUAGUCCUUGUACACACAACUAGACAGAGAGACAGACAGCCAAUCAGCUAGCCAGCCAUCCAGCUAGCCAAUCAGAGAUACAGAUUAUGUUAAUUAUGUACAGGAGACCGAUAGAUACAUAGACAGACACAAAUCCAUAGAUUUGAUUGUGUUGUGCUUUUCUGCUCAAGAAGCCCUAUUCAGCCUUCAUGGACCAGCUGAGGUGGACAGACAGAAGACGCUGUGGGGUCUUUGCUGGCUGCUGCAUGCCGUCAAUCUGGAUUACCCAGAACUCUGUUCUUUCAUAAUCAGGAACAUCAGGGACAGGAGACCUCUGGCACCAGAUGAGGGACAACCGUGGGAAGACGGAGAGGCUGCAGCAAGCCCAAAGAUGAAAGGAUACGUGGCAGCAAAAGAUAACCUUGAUAAAGUACAACGCCUUCAAGAAAAGGACCAAAGGCCCAGACCCCCUUCCUACAACCCAUUUGAGACAUUGACAGUUUUAGUUGCAGAUUCAUUUGACCUUGAUAAGAUUCCUAUAGUUUCAGUACAGUAAAGGUGUUAUGUGUGAACUGAUACACAUUUUGUAUUUUAGGAUAAUAUGAAGAAAAAGAAGGGAGGCCUGCCCUGCCUGCAAACCCUCCACAACCUCGUUCUGUUACCUCAUAUCUUACAUUUAUGGAUUACAACUGGAGUUUCCAUCAGCUUUUGAAGGACAAUUUAAAAAGACCUGACAGCACAUUUUUCUUAGUAGCAACUGUGUAGGAAUUACAAAGCCAAUACACCUCUGAGAAAUGUGUGUUUAUUUUAUGUUACCAAAAUAUGUUUUAUGUGAGUGUCAAUAUUUAUUUAUUAGUGGUUAUUUAAUUAUCUGUAGUAAAAGUAAACAAUUGUUUACAAACAUGAUCAAUGUACAGACAAACUAUUUCAAUUCCUCGUAAAUAUAAAUAGAGUUGAUCUGUUUAUAUUGCAAUUUUGAUGGAAAGUAAGACUUGAUUUUAUAAAGUUUCUUGGCCUC